GUGGAUUAGUACCCUGGUAGUCCACGCUGUAAACGAUGGGCACUAGGUGUUCGGGGUAUUGACCCCCUGAGUGCCGCAGCUAACGCAUUAAGUGCCCCGCCUGGGGACUACGGCCGCAAGGUUAAAACUCAAAGGAAUUGACGGGGGCCCGCACAAGCGGUGGAGCAUGUGGUUUAAUUCGACGCAACGCGAAGAACCUUACCUGGGCUAGACAACGUCGGACAGCUCUGGAAACAGAGUCUUCCCGCAAGGGACUGGCGGUUCAGGUGCUGCACGGUUGUCGACAACU
rnacentral:rRNA from 1 species